GUUGUAGCUUAGUUGGUUAAAGCGCCAGAUUGUGGCUCUGGAGACCGUGGGUUCGAGUCCCAUCUUC
rnacentral:tRNA from 1 species